CAGGACGAACGCUGGCGGCGUGCUUCAAACAUGCAAGUCGAACGGAGUUAAUUUUGAAGCUUGCUUUAGAAUUAACUUAGUGGCGGACUGGUGAGUAACGCGUGAGUAAUCUGCCUAUCACAGGGGGAUAACAGUUAGAAAUGACUGCUAAUACCGCAUAAGCGCACGGAGACGCAUGUCUUUGUGUGAAAAGCCGAGACGGUAUGAGAUGGACCCGCGUCUGAUUAGGUAGUUGGUGAGGUAACGGCCCACCAAGCCGACGAUCAGUAGCCGACCUGAGAGGGUGACCGGCCACAUUGGGACUGAGACACGGCCCAAACUCCUACGGGAGGCAGCAGUGGGGAAUAUUGCACAAUGGGGGAAACCCUGAUGCAGCGACGCCGCGUGAAGGAAGAAGUAUUUCGGUAUGUAAACUUCUAUCAGCAGGGAAGAAAAUGACGGUACCUGACUAAGAAGCCCCGGCUAACUACGUGCCAGCAGCCGCGGUAA
rnacentral:rRNA from 1 species